CCCAGACAAUGUAACUUUCUUAUUACCUUCAUUCACAGGAAGUUUUUAAUGACUCUUCAUGUGGCUCUUAAGCUUGUCACAGUGUGGAGGGAUUCAGAGACUAUAAGUGACUUCCUGGAAGAACAUCAAGGUCUGAAAUGAAAUGACCUCCUCAGAGUAAAGGAAGAACACUGGGAUUGUAACAGAGGAAUGAAGAGGAUGAGAAAACCCACUCGGCUUCUCACAGCUACUCCAUUUAUAUAUUCCUUCUUGGCAUAUGAGAAGACCUUCAACUUCCUAUGUGUGAAAAACAGCCACUCUGAUGAGGUGUUGAUAAGUUUGAAGCACUACCUGAGACUAAUAGAAAUGAUUAAUAGUGAUAGAUCACUCUCCACACUCACUCAGAUAACAGCAUCUCUCUUGGGGUGGUUGACAAUCCAAUUGUGGUGGGGUGCAAAGAGGCCUAAAGCACAUUUCAUUAGUUAUCAACUGGGGCACUCUGUCUCAUCCUUUAAAAGCACACAUACAAACAAAAACCACCUGACAGGAAAAAGGAAAAGCGUGUGCAGUACUUGUCAGAAAUCAGCACAGGCAUAAUUAAGGAUAACAAUGCAGUGGCAAAUCAGAGCAACCCAUUGGCAUUUUCUUGCUUCAUUGCACGCAACAACAUAUUGGUCUCAAGAGACAUUUUUGGAGGUGCAAAAGUUCACCUGCAGCCUGUUAAUUCACUUUGAGACAGGUCUGCAAUCACUUAAUGGACUCUUCGUGUGCUGGCUGCUAUGGUAACUGCUGCAUCAUGCUCUCCAUAGAAUUCUUUUGGAGGAUAGUGUAAACUGUGAGAGCAAAUCUCAGAUGGGUUUGUUACUGGAAUCAAAAUCCCAGGAUGGAUUUGCAGUUCUACAUAUGGCCUUGGCCCACUGAGCGCUCCUUUUAUGGAUAUGAUUGUUCAUUUGGCUUAAUUUUAAACCCAGUCCUUAAGCAUUGUGUGUUCAAAAACACUUCUCAGAAUUGAAGUCUUUUGGGUUUGGGCUGGGUUGGAUGCACACGUGGAAAGCUUAAAAAAAACAACUGAAGAAAGGUCCUAAAAGAUGAGACAAAUAGUAAGGAGAUUGGGUUAAAUCAUUCAGUCUAUCUGGCCUGGUCAUCAAGCUCAAAGCAAAACCCUCUUCAAAAACAAGCAAAAGAAUGCCAUCAGGAGAUGGGAAAAAUAACUACCAGCCUUUAGAGAAGUCCAAACCAAUCAAAGGUGAAUACCCAAGUCAGCAGAACAUAGAAUCAUAGAAUCAUAGAACCAUAGAAUGGUUU